UACGGAGGGUGCAAGCGUUAAUCGGAAUUACUGGGCGUAAAGCGUGCGCAGGCGGUUGUGCAAGACAGAUGUGAAAUCCCCGGGCUCAACCUGGGAACUGCGUUUGAAGCUAUCAAGCUAGAGUAUGGGAGAGGGAGGUAGAAUUCCACGUGUAGCAGUGAAAUGCGUAGAGAUGUGGAGGAAUACCAAUGGCGAAGGCAGCCUCCUGGCCUAAUACUGACGCUCAUGCACGAAAGCGUGGGGAGCAAACAGG
rnacentral:rRNA from 1 species